AGCAGAACAAAACCCAGGUUGCAGAGAAAAGCCAAGAAUGAAGCUGGAAUUCAAAGGCCCAGCUCCUGACCAGGGGUUGGGGGACUGCGCAGGGACCCACUCUGUGCUUGGAAUGGAGCCCUUGCUGCUCUGCCACUGAGGCUUCUGUUAAAAGGAGCAUGGUUCUUCUUCCCCUCCCAAAUUUCUAAGUGAAUUUCCACCCGCCCUCUUCCAGGGCACGCCUCUACGCGGCCUCUGAGUCACCUCCCUCCCGAUCCUCUGGUGCCCUUCAGGGCAGAUCACAGCCUCUGGGACUGCAGCCCCGUUUCUCCUUUGCUGGCAAAGCUGUAAGACUUGUUUUGCGUCUUUCUCAAAGUGUCCUCGUGAUGGACUGGCUUGGGGCCAAGGACUGGACUUUCGGCAACAGGGCCAAGGGGAAGAAGAUGGUCUAGAAAAUGACGCAGGCUUUUCCGGCUGGACACGGGCAUCCACACACAGGAGGCUCCUGACUUCCCGGUGCCACAGUGAGCCCUGGCGCGGUCGCCCUGGCACAUGGCCUGCUAGAGGUGGUACACGCUCCUGAUCUCGGCGGCCUUGAUCUUGUCCGCCUGCGUCACCAGCGUCAGCGCCUCCUCCACCUGCCUCUUGGCCCCCCUGAGCUCCGAGAUCUCCUGCUGCAUCUUGACCUUCUCCACCUCGAAGCCCUUCCUGGCCUCCUCCUUGGCCUCGCACAGCAGCACCGUCUUGGCCUUGUCGGGGGCGCCGUCGCGCAGGGCGUUGAGCAGUGCCUGCAGCCGCUGGUUCUCGUUGUCCUUGAUCUUGAUGACCCGCAGCAGCUCGGCCUCGUGCUGCCGCAGCAGCGCCUCGCGCACGGCCUGCAGCUCCUUCAUCUUCUCCUCGUGCAGCUUGGUCUUCAGCUCCGUGACCAGCACCGCGUGCUUGCGCUGCUCGUGCUCACGCACCUGCCGCAGCUCCUGGCUCUUCUCCCGCUCCACUCUGCUGACCUGGAAGACAAGGACACUGUGGUCACCCGCCAGGCGAGUGCCCGCUCCCGGGAACCGCAAGCUGCAUGGGAGGGGGGCUGCCUUCCAUUCUGGGGUGUGCUUAACAUGCUGAUGAAGACCCCAAGUCAAGCUUGCUUGGUGGAGAGCGUGGCCAUGCCCUGCGGCUCUGCAGCACUCCUGGCUGUAGACCCUGACCAGCCUGCCUCCCAGCCUCCUCCUUCCCCUCCCCAGCCUGGCCCGCCUGCUCUGGUCUCCUCUGCUGAUUCAGUCCCACAGAGCAUGGCCUGUGUCUCUGUGGGUCCGGUGCACCUACUCCACCUCCUCUCCGGGUCCCACUUCAGGAGCUGCCACCUAACCCCUGGCAUAGGACUGGGUUACUUUCCUCACAGAGCUGAUCAUUCUGUUAGUCAGCUCUCCAUUACUGUAACAAAUACUUCAGACAAAUCAACUUCUAAAGAGAAAAGGUUUGUUUGGCUCACAAUUUCAGAGGUUCCAGUCCUUGAUCAGUUGGCCCAUUGCUUUGGGCCCAUGAUGACAUAGCAUCACAGCAGGGGCACAUGGCAGAGCAAAACCACUCACCCUGUGGCCAGGAGAUAAAGGAAGAAAGGGCUAGGGUCUCAGGAUCCCCUUUCCAGGACAGGAUCCCCGGAGCAAAGACCUCCCUUAGGCCCCACCUCUUAGAGGUUCCCCCAGCUCCUAGUGACACCCCGGUGGGGACUAAGCCUUCAGCUGGGGCUGUGGGCUGCAUCUGAAAUCAAGCCAUGGCACAACCCUGCGAGUCUGCUCAUCUCUGUGACUGUCCUGUCUCCCUCCCACCACGGGCAGCCUCUGAGGGUGGGGGUGGCAGGCCACCUGUCCUGUCUCCCUCUGAGGAUGGCCUUAGGCCUGAGCCUAAGCAACUCAUUUUAAAAACUCCACUUUAUAACUCCAGUCUCCGCACCCUGACAAACUCAGCUAACUCUCUGGCUUGUUGUCUUUGCCCUUAUCAAGAAAAUCAGGGUGGGGACCACCAGACCAGAUGCUUUUACCCUAGGUUUACCCUAGAGACCCAGUGGCAGCUGAUAGGGAUUGAAAGUGUGGUCAAAAGCCCCCAAAUUUAGAAUAAAUGAAGGAGCACGUGAACGGACGUUCAGCCAGCCAAUGCUGAUGCCCACAAGCCGGGAGCCUGAUGAGGACCUGCACUGACAUCCCAUCACUUGUCAUCCUUGGCUGAUCCUCUGUGUGGUCCUCACUGCUCUCAAACUCCACGCCACAUCUUGACCCUGGUGAGAGCAGUGAGUUCUCCCUGAGACCCUCUCCUCAACCUGCCUGCCUUGGAGGAGGAGCCUGCCCUGGUUCCUGACCCGAUGACCGCGGUCUGAGUGGGCAUCUGUGGACUUAGAGCCCAAGGCUGGAGACUUUAGACUGGCACUAGAACUUCGCAUGCUGAGGGGAUGUCUAAGUGUGUUUGCGGUGCUUAGAAUUAAUUAGAAGUGUCUGCUGUGAACUGAUCGUGUCUAUUGCAGUGCCCAGCAUUAAGGAUUGUCGUUUUCUUCAUUAAGAACCUAUGGAGUGGAAUUGUAGUGAGUGAGCUGAGUGAAUAAGCAUUGAGGGGGCAGAAGCGGUGGACAUUCUUCAGUUCUCCCCCUCGCACCUUCAGCCCUCACGACCCUCCCCACCAGGAAAGGCUGACAGGGCUCACUCAGCUGGUGCUAGGGCUGGCGUCCAGCACUGGGACUGGGGUCCCAGCUGUGGGGUCCAACCCUGGGACUCCCUCUGGGUCCCCUACGGGUACUACAGUGCUGAAGGUUCCAACCACCAGGCUCUCCUGACCCUGCCAGGGGCCCGCCUGUCUGGACUCCGCCUGGCAAGCUGGCAGGUGCCGAAAGCGAGGGCACAGACGCUUGCCGCCCUUCUAUCUGUCAUGGACCCCCCUUCCAGCAGGGACCAAGUUCCGGGUGCCGGAGGGUGUUCUGGGCACCUGGGGGUGUGGCCCUGAGUCUUUGCCUGCCUUGGUGGGUCACUUCUGCAGGGCUGCAGACCAUGCUCCGUGGGGGCUGGGGGUGGAGCGGGGGUGGCUCCCAUCUAGGGUCAGGCACACAGCAGGUCCCCAGGCUGGACAUGUCCUCUCAGCAGACAAAGCAUCACCUUUGUGGAGACUCCUUGAUGGGCACUCAGCAGAGGACAGUCAUGCGUGGCAUGUCACCGAGCAGAUGUUUGUGGGAGGGGAGGAGAGUGCAGGAGAGCGCGGGCGGAACAGUCCAAGGUUAGGCGGGUGGAGACCUGCGUGGGGUCCUGUGGAGUGAUUCUGGGCCCUUCGCCCAGAGCCUGUGACUUCACCACCCCCCCGGGUCUCCACCUGAGUCGACAUCAGACGUGGGGAAAGGCAAGGGGUGGUCUCCAACAGCCCAGGGCAGCAGGGCUCCCGUCAGGCAGCUGCAGAUACAGCGUCCAGGAGACGCUUCUGCUCCUGGAGAGCCGUGGGAGGUGGCCUCGCUGGCCCUGCUUCUCAGCAGGCAAGGGCCGCUCCGCCUCCAGCCCCAGAGACUGAGGGACAAGGGCAGAGGACACAGCCCUAGGUGGCCCGGGUGUGUGGGGGGCGGGAAGCAGCUUUCCCAUGACUCGGAAAGGGAACUGUUCAGGAGGAAGCACUGCGGUCCUCCUGAGGCCCACCGCUGGCUCUCACAGCAGCCCGCGGCCUGGGGGACAGGCCUGGGGGUGCCCAGCUGCCCUGGAUUAGCAGUGAGGACUCCCCUCCCCCGGGGGCCCUGUCCCUUCGGCAGGCUCCCCAGGCCACGGGUGGAGGUUUCCUCACUGCGGGGUGCGCCUCCGCGUGCUAUCCGGCUGCCGUGGAAAGGCGAGAUGAACUUUUGACUCUUCUCCCAGCCCUCGGGUGCCGAGGAAGUGGUGCCUUGGGAACAUGUGAACCUGGACGUCCUCGAUGGGCUUCGUUCCGUGCACAUCUCAUCCUGGCCACAGCUGCGUGUCCCCCUGGCCAGCGGCCCUCUCCAGAUGCCCCUCGAAGCCCCAGGUGCCCCCAGCAGCCUCCAGGCUCUGACGGAGACCCUGCCGCUCCUCUUGCUCCUCUCCCACAGCGCUGUUCUCUUCAUGGGAAAUGGCACCUCAAGGUCACCACCGGGCCCUGGGUUGCUCACUGCUUCUGGGGAGGUCAUUGUGGGAACUUUUCAAGAGACAGAUGAAACUUCAAAUUUGGUUUUACAGAGACAUACACAAACCAUAUCACGUCUUAGUAAGUAUAAGGCUAUAUGCCAUAUCUUACGCUAAACAAAAUACACCACAUUUGUCACCCA